ensembl:lncRNA
CUCAUCCAUCAAACAACUCCAGAGCUUCACGGAAGAAACGGCGAGAACAGCCACGACCACAAAGCUCCUCAGCCGGAGACGAGCGACAAGACUCUUGUGAUUAGCGCGUGACAGGAAGCGUUUUCCCCUCGGAUCAAACUUCAUCUGGACUGCUAUGCUCAGAAAGGUGUUGAGGUGCAGCCGUCAACCACCAGCUCGGAGAAAAGAGAGCGAGGAAGCGGCGAAUCCUAACAAGCUUUCGGAGAAGAGUUCCAGCGUUCACAACCCAACCCGUGCAUUGUGGCCGGGUUUUGAAUGGCGGCGGUUUGGCUUGGAGCGUCGAGCAUAUAAACUUCACAACCCCGCCGUAUUGGCUGAACUUACCCUGAACAGAUGCUCGAAAACUCCAACGGGAGCCCAGGCGUGGCUCUCGUCACCAUGUGCAUUUGUGUUAUUGUCCCGCGAGCGCUGAAAAAGUCGGUGAACGCGGCCAAAAGAAACACAGCAACGAAAAAGAACAUGGCGUGUUAUGACUGCGGCCAGCAGUGUUAAUAACAAGUUAAUAAUGCAUUUUUUGUCGGAUAAACGCGGCCCUCAUAUUGAAGUAGAAGCUUGAAGCUUUUCUAAACACGACACAUGAGCAACACAUGUAUACAAUGAAUGCACGUCAUUUUACUGAAUCCACAUAUUGUCGAAUUAUUAUUAUUUCAUCAAACUACACUCAAAGGGUGUCACGGUGUGGUUUUAUAUCCGGUCUUAUUUUGUAGUUUUCUGCUUCUUGUCUCCCUGGGUAACUUCACUUCCUGCCUUGUCCUGUCAUCCCCUGUGAUUGUCUGAUUGUUUCCACCUCCAAUCACCUGCACCUCCCUAGUGUAUUUAAGCUGUGUGUGUCUCCUGUCGCUUGUCGCGUCAUUGUCUAUCGUCCUGGAUGUGCCUCGUUCCUGUCUGCCUUUUUGCCCUCCUGUUCCUGUCUGCCUUUUUGCCCCCCCUGUUCCUGUCUGCCUUUUUGCCCCCCCUGUUCCUGCGUGUGUUUUUGCCACUUGGCCAUUUUUGUGUUGGAGUUUAAAACUCUGCAUUUGAGUCCUGCCUUCCUACUCAACCCUGACAAAGGGGGCCGCUAUCGGAUUUAGUUGUUCUUACUCUGCCAGUCCCUUCUGCUCACUUUGUUUCAGCGCCGUGCCAACGGAGGGGAGAGAACUGGCAGAGCAAGUUUAAAAAUGUAGUCCAACAACAAGGAUUUGUAACUUCAUCUUUUAAUUGCAAGUGGGUUGAUUUUGGCACAGAUGACACACAGAUUGGUGGUGAUGGACGCGCCAAGGCUGUGGGUGUGGCAACACAACAGUUCCUUCUCUAGAAGUACAACGCCAUGAACAUAAAACCAGCACUCAAAACUUUUCUACUGACAUACAAACAUUAACGGUGACUCCGGAUAGCCGUCGCUGCACCUGCAGUGACUGUCAAGGGCUGGUAGAUGAAUGUCCCUCCUGCUAAGCUCGAUCUGGAUUUGUUUGCGCAGCUUCUACCGAGAUGUUAUCUAUCUCAUGAAGAAUUAUGAAAGCGUUCUUGUGGUGACGAAGCCCUGCUUGGAGUUUUAGAGUGAAGGUUUCUUGUAGAUGUGCAGAUAGAGUGGAUGAGUGGGUGGACCAACGUGGGUGAUGCAUGCACAAACAAUGUGAGCAGACAGUAGGUCUGCUCAUGUGUAACUGAUUGUUUCAGAGAGAAAUAAAGCCCAAAACAUUCUGAGCUGCGAGGGAGACGUUGAAUGUGAGUCUACCCCUCGAGGUGGAUGCGUGAAGUUAAGUUGUUCCUUAACUAAAGUAGAAUAUUAGACACUAACAAACUAAAUUUGUUUUGCAACUUUAUGUUACUGGAAAGUAUUUAUUGUGAUACUAUAGAUUGAAAACUGGAUCUUGUCGUCAGUAUUUUGUUCAAUGGGAUGAAGAGAAGCUGGCUGAAGUUAACGGAGACAUCAGCACCUAAAAUGACUGGAACAAUGAAAGAUUACAGCUUCAGACCCUUGAGAAACAGACACCACAGAGCUACAGGAACACAAUUAAACCCAAGCAUAAAAAAGAAAAAUAGUGAGCAACAACUAUUACUAGGUGUUAAGUCGGUGAAGCUCCUCCAGAAUCAAACUAGCCAAGCAAUCAAAAACGUCACAAAAUAUAUCUUAUACCUUAAACUGGGGCUGCUGGGAUUGUGACAGAAAACUCAUUUUCACAUCUGUUUCAGCGGCUUAACAAAUCUAAAUGGGUCUCCUGAAGCUCUGUUCUGGGACCGGUUCAAUAAUUCAUUGGAUCUGAGCUCAGGACGUUACCUCCACCGCCUCAGGCUUCUUGGCCACGACCGGCGCUCGGGCCGGGAUGGCCGCCUUCUGCCAUUAGCACGGCUCUGAUCAGAUUUACAGUUGGGCCUUUGGCCAACAGAGAGGCCCGGAGAAGGAGAGUCCUGGCCGCCAUGGCUGAAGCACACGGGGGGGGGUCAUUUAGCAGGCUGCAGUGACCACUGAUGCACCGCACUUAGCAUGCCGCCGUCAUUAGGGCACACGGUGCGUGAUGCCCCCGCCAGGAAGAGAAGCAGUGCAGGUGGCUCAGCACGUGAGAACAAGCCCUUUUGAUUUCCCCUCUAAAUACCCUGGUACACCCACUGAUAUUUGUUAUUUUAGGCAUCAAUGAUGGAGGUCAGUAUAGUGAAGGUUUCAUGUAACCGUGUCUGGGCCCAAAGAGCAAAUCAACGCCGACUAAAGAGGAAACGAUGAUGUCACAGAAGGAGGGAUUGGAGGGAAGAAAAUCAAAAGAUAGAGAGUGUGUCGAGCGGCGGCGACCCUCCCACAGCCCUACCUGUGGUGGAACAGAUUGGACCCGCUGCAGCGCGUUCUGAUUGCCGCGGCGCUUGAGCGUCAGCUGACAGAUGGCUGCCUGCAAGCAGCCCGGUGCGGCGGGCCGUCCGCAUCCUCCACUGAUUGGAAGCUCAUGCACACACGCGGCCAACACGCCUCGCGCCCACGUACAUAGACUGGUGACAUUAAAAGCAAAAAGGGUGAGGGAGGAACGGAGGACAUGGUUGUUUUUCAUAUUGGUGGCACGUUGCUGUUCCUCCCCACGGGUCGCAGCCAUUGUUCACAAUCAGACAGGAUAUAUGAAAGGAGGGAAUAAGGUUGGACCUUUUCCACUUCAAUGUUUAAUAGGAGGGUAAAAAUGAUGCUUCAAGAAAUAGAUAAUAAAGCUCUCUUUAUUGCAGGCAUUCUAACAAAGGUGACUGUCUCAAAACUCAUUUCCAUGUCUUAGGGCUCUUCCAAAUAUUCCCUCAGCACUAUGAGUCACAAUUUAAAACGGUGUGUAUGCAUAAGGCCGCCACAUGCUACAGAGUAAGGAUAGAGAGGAAGACAUUCUUUCCUGGGGAAGUUGUGAGCCGUGAUUUCCUAAUCUCAUCUGAAAUGAACUGUAUCAAAUCUCCUAUUGAUAUCCUUACAAAUUCCUACGUAUCAUGUUAAUUACUAUGUCAUCAAUUUACAAAACAGUUCUCUUGUUAAGUCCAAAAAUGUGGACUACUUGUAUUGAAUCAUGAAUCUAGAUGAAAUCUGAAAAAAUCAGUCG